rnacentral:rRNA from 1 species
GGGCAGUGCGGCGGGCUUACACUGCAAGUCGAACGGAGUUCCUUGGGAAGAGAUUUCGGUCAAUGGAAGAGGACCCUUAGUGGCGGACGGGUGAGUAACGCGUGAGGAACCUGCCUCUCAGAGGGGGACAACAGUUGGAAACGACUGCUAAUACCGCAUAAUAUAUCUGUAUCGCAUGGUAUGGAUAUCAAAGAUUUAUCGCUGAGAGAUGGCCUCGCGUCUGAUUAGCUAGUUGGUAGGGUAACGGCCUACCAAGGCGACGAUCAGUAGCCGGACUGAGAGGUUGGCCGGCCACAUUGGGACUGAGAUACGGCCCAGACUCCUACGGGAGGCAGCAGUGGGGAAUAUUGGGCAAUGGGCGCAAGCCUGACCCAGCAACGCCGCGUGAAGGAAGAAGGCUUUCGGGUUGUAAACUUCUUUUAAGAGGGAAGAGCAGAAGACGGUACCUCUUGAAUAAGCCACGGCUAACUACGUGCCAGCAGCCGCGGUAAUACGUAGGUGGCAAGCGUUGUCCGGAUUUACUGGGUGUAAAGGGCGUGCAGCCGGGAGUGCAAGUCAGAUGUGAAAUCCCGCGGCUCAACCGCGGAACUGCAUUUGAAACUGUGCUUCUUGAGUGCUGGAGAGGCAGACGGAAUUCCUAGUGUAGCGGUGAAAUGCGUAGAUAUUAGGAGGAACACCAGUGGCGAAGGCGGUCUGCUGGACAGUAACUGACGGUGAGGCGCGAAAGCGUGGGGAGCAAACAGGAUUAGAUACCCUGGUAGUCCACGCUGUAAACGAUGGAUACUAGGUGUGCGGGGACUGACCCCCUGCGUGCCGCAGUUAACACAAUAAGUAUCCCACCUGGGGAGUA